GUGCCACACAAAGCCUUCGGGUGCUACGGUGGAAGGAUCGAGCCCGGUUAAGACCGGCUGAGACUUCGUGCUCAGGUGAUCGAUCUGACUGGCCGUAUGCGGAGUGAGACGAAAAUUCGGGGGUUCUGUUUCCCCGAAAAAAAAUGAGAAAAAAGCCUAAAGUACCUUGCUCUAAAAGCAAAGCAAAGACUCAGUAAAAUUUUUUCCUGUCCUCCCGGGGACUUCUCACCUUCUUCCUUCCCUCCCGCCUUCCCACCGCACGCUGUCAUAUUCUACCGCGCAUGCGCCACACCAUGGUAACCACUAAAGAUUAAUUUCAAUGGUAGUAUUUUCUCCAAACAUUUCUCCCAGCCGCCAUUUGUAUUUUUCUUCUUUCGUCCGCCAUCUUUUUUCUUUUUUAUUUUUCAUUCGUCCUCGAACCGAUCCUGAUACACGACAUUGCCUUUUACAGGCCGAUAUCGCUACCACUAGACCACUUGCUCGUUGUUGGAAGCCUACCGCAACUUAUUCACCUGAAUCUUUUUUCUCUAGCUUGUGUAAUUAAGUGACAAAAUGACUUCUGUAGGACUUGAACCACAAUGGUACAUCACACAGCAUGUAGUCUGUACCACUAGACCACUUGCUCGUUGAUGAAAGCAUAUUACAACUUAUUUACCGUAGCCUUUUUUCUCUAGCUUGUGUAAUUAAUAUCCGACACAUUUCAAGUCACAAAACUACUUCGACAGGACUUGAACCACAAAG